rnacentral:lncRNA from 1 species
GUACUUUGUCCCCAGUGUUACAGAAAUGUCCUUAUUUUUUGGUCAAAACACACAGAGAAAACCAUACAAUGAAAGCUGGUUUUUAACUAGCAGAAGCCUCAGCACCUGCUGGAAGCUGUGACCAAGCCAAUUAUAAGGGCAUCUUAAUCAGUCACAGUGGCAGGAAUGUGGCAGUGGUCUGUCUCUUCCAGUCACAGGUUUGUUUUUGUAGGGGAAUCAGAUAUGGCUGGAAGAACAUUUACUUGAAUUGGUUUAUCUUUUACCAGUUUGAGUGCCUCCUACAGGGACAGCAGUGGGCUGAGUAUUAUAAA